CGUCUCUCCAACAGGGACCCUGGUGCGGCUGUGGACCUGGGCAAGCCUGGGCCUCCGAGGUAUCCCUGACUCAGUCUAGGGGCCUGCGGGCAUACAUGCGUGUGUGCCCACCGGCGAGCGCACCGUGCCGGUGUCUGUAGGCUGGGGAGCAACAGGUGUAAAAGUGAAGAAGUGAAGGUGGCUAGGAGGUGGUGCACCCAGUUAAGCACAUAUAUUUCUAUGUGAAAGGACCCGGUUCAAGCCUCAACUCAACUACAGGAAGGACAUUUCACAAGCAGUAAAGCAGGUUCCAGAUGCUAGCAUGAUGCCAACCAGACCUCCCUGGACAGACAGCCCCACCAAUGUAUCCUGGAGCUCCAUUUCCCCAAAGCCCUUCCCCACUAGGAAAAGAGAGAGACAGGCUGGGAGACCUGUCAACGUCCAUGUUUAGCAGGGAAGCGAUUAUAGAAGCCAGACCUUCCACCUUCUACAUCCCACAAUGAUCUUCGGUCCAUACUCCCAGAGGGUUAAAGAAUAGGAAAACUAUCGGAGGAGGGGAUGGGAUACAGAGUUCUAGUGGUGGGAAUUGUGUGAAGUUGUACCCCUCUUAUCGUAUGGUUUAGUCAAUGUUUCCUUUUUAUAAAUACACAUUUUUUUUUAAAAGAGAAAAAUGGCCUCUGGGAGUGGUCGAUUCAUAGUGCUGGCACUGAA